UCGAUUUGUAAGCGCAAGCGCCUACUGACUUUGCCGUUCUCGGCACGCAUCGACGAAUCCCGGCUAUUUUCGGCUACGCAGUACCGUUUCAAACAGCCUGUCGCGGUGAAUCCUUAUUAGAAGAGUGUUCGUUUAUCGUCAGACCGCAUUCGGAUCCGUUCUCGUCAUCAUCAACAAUUUGUUACUCCUUUUAAAAAAUAAGAAAAAAGAAGGAAGAGUAUCUUAUUUAUUCUAUUUUACUUGAAGACAAAAAAAAACAAGGAAUCCCAUUGCUGAUCAAUCGAUUCAACGAGUUUGAAUAAACGGACAACGACACUGAUGACAUCGAUGAAGUCGACGACUACGAUGGCAACGACGUUGAUAACAAAAACAACAACAACAACGACAACGAUGACAGGGCUGAACAAUGAAGUAAAUAAUAACGAUCAUGAAAUAAUGUUGAAAAUAAUGAGAAAUUGGUUUGAUUUGAUAUUUCGAUACUUGCCUUGGCACGAUUUGACUGACCUCAAUGAUAAUAAAUUAAUAUGGGAAAAGAAGUUUAAAAUAAGAUGAGAGGGAGGGGGAGAAUGAUCGAAACGUUAUGAUACAGCCCUGGAAAAUGUUCAUCGCGGCUGCUCGGAAGUGGCCGGUCGUCGUCGAGGGUAAAACGACCGCGCCUACACGUGGAGCAAGCGCCAGCCGUUCUUGUCUCGAACGUAGUUUCGAACUGAAUCUCGAACGGAGUCCCGGAGUCUCGGCUUUGCCGUGACACGAUCAACAAGUACGCGGGCGAAACGAUGCAUUGCAUAAAAUCCGCUUAAGACUCUGCUUUGCAAUACUUCGGUUAAAACUUUCUCUCUGACGAGCGUUUGUUAAUCUUCGUUCGUUAUUCCGUUUCCUUUCUCUCGAUUGACUGCAAUGUCUUAUUAUAGUUCGCCAGGACUUUAAAUACUCGUCAGGAGAAGUCAGUGUGUAGUAUAGUAAUUUUUUUUGUACAAUUAAAGUGUCGUGUAAGUCACCCACAAAGAGAGAGAGAGAGAGAGAGAGAGGGAGAGACAAAGAAAUUCAAAGAUCAUCAGAUUGUGAUGAAAAUUUCCAUCGGAUUAGUUCAUUGUAAAUAAGGAAUAAGAAAAUGCGCGUUAUUUGUUGGACAAUUCGAUGAUUAUUUUGAAUAAUACAAAAAUAAUAUUAAAUUCGAUAUGACGAAACGACAUGCAUUUCUUCGACUUGACGUUCGUAGCUCGAGAUAUAAUAAUAAUAAUAAUAAUAAUAAUAAUGCUGCUACGAGGGAAAGCGCGAAAAUGAUUUUACGGAAUGAAAAAUGUACGAAUUUGACGGAACGAAUUCCAGAAAUAAGAUUAACCGAAGGACGAUUCAGGAGGUGGAAUAUGUACUUACGUUAGACGGCCGUCUUGCUUUUAAUAAUAGAUAAAAACGUAGGGGCGGGCUCGUGCCGGAAAAAGAACGGAAACGUUUUCGAACAAUUUUGACGACACCACGCCACAGUUGAAAACGACGAUUUCUCUCGGUGGCUCUGAUUUCAUCGUGCGAAUACUUUUCGACAAUUCUCGAUUAAAUGUGUUCCAGCUAUUUUUGUAAUCCUCGAUUAGAAAAAAUCGAGAAAACAAGAAGAAACGUGAAGCGAACUAUCCGUGAUCUUAAUGUCGACAAAUACUUUUUUUCCUUCCUUCCUUCCUUCCUUCCUUCCUAAUGUUCGAUAAACGAGCAAGAAAUUCAGAUUGAUUUAUCUCGAUCAUCAAUCGAUCGAUCGAUCGAUUAAUUCCUACCCUUCCUUCCUUUAAACUAUACCUACCUAAAAUAUGUGGAUAAUAUUAGAAGUUGAUUCAACGAUGAGACGACAGAAAUCAAGAAAUCUUACGACAGUUAUGUCUUCAUGGAAAUGAUGUCGUUGCCGCACAAAAGUCUUCUUGGAUCGUCCAUAUUGUUAAUGAUUGCUCUGGUGGCCUUAUUGACGAGCAAGAGAUACGGUUUGGAAACUCGUAAAAAGGAUAAGGAUGCAUUGUUACUUGAUAUUAUUGCAAACAUAAGCGGAACGAUAGACAAACUCAAUGCUGGAUUCGAUGGAGCAACGAAAGAAACAAAAAUUGAGGAAAGAGACUAAACGUACGUGACGAUUCCAAAACUGUCAUAUUAUGAUGUCAAACAUUUGCCGAGUAUUAUCAUUUACGAAUUAGAAUUUUAGGUGCAAGAUACAUCUGAAGAAAUUCUAUACCAUAAUGGAAGAAACGGUAAAAUUUGGAUUUAACUGAUUUUACUAAUAAUAAUCGAGUAACAUUCAAGUUGCUAUGUUCUCUCUAAAUAGUUUUUAGAAAGAUACUUAACAAAUCAUUCGUUUGAAAUAUAUAUGCCUCUUCUUACGUUACGACACAUAUAUAUAUUGUACAUCAAAGUUAAUUUAGCUUUGGUGACCUAACGAGAUAUUAAAAAAGAUUUUCCAAGAAGCCAUAGUUGGAACAAAAAAAAACGAACCAUUAUUAGCAAAUCUAAGGUAUUCAAAAGAGAUUGGUCAUUGGCAAGACGAAAUGAUUGAAAUUAGAUUUACAAAUGUGAACGUUGUUGUUGAGUAACGUCUGACAUCUUGAGCUUAUUAUUAGUUAUAGUAGUAUACAGAUAAGAUUAUAUAUGCGAUAACUUUUAACGAGAUACGGAACGGCAAGGUAACUUUCCAGGCGAAACUUUGAUCCCUUACACACUUUGUAUUAGUUGCUAGUAUAUAUGUAUGUAUACAUGUAUAUUGUAUAUGUAUAUAUAUAUAUAUAUGUACUUAUGUUAGAAAGUCCGGUGAUACGUUUUCCUCACAUAUCCUUUAACACGUUCGUCGCCCAGCCCGUUUUGGUUGAGUUUCUCACCAGGCCCAAAAUUCGAUUGUCGGUGCGCC
rnacentral:lncRNA from 1 species